CCCCACGUGGGCUCUCCCGCUGGACCCCGGCGCACACCUGCGGAGCGGAACGCUCCACGAUGCAGCGAAGGGGGGGAGGGGCGAGGCGGCGGCAGCGCAGAGGCAGCCGAGAUCCCGGUAGCGAAUCCGCCGGAGCGGAUCUCUCCCGGUGAGACAGGCCACAGUUCCACCCUAAUGGCUCCUUUUCUCCCUUCCCGGAGCAGGGGUGAGCUCCGCUGUAUGUCUCCCCGCCACUUGGUACGGCCCGCCGCGAGGCAUGCUGGGUGGCGGCGACCGGGCUGGAGGAGCGCUGCCGCCGGCCCGGUAGCGGGAGUCAGUCAGGGCGUCGGUCAGUCACGGCCGGCGGGGCCCGGCGGACCGGGCGGCUGUGGCGGUCGGGCCGGCUCCGCUGAUACUCUUCCUCUGAGUUCUAGGUGCCUGGCUUUCGGUCAGCGGCUCCUUGCGCGGGGCUUCACCUCAGGCAGAGCCGCGCCUGCGGACGGGGCGGAGGAGGAAGGAGAUUUGCUUUUUUAUUUAAGUACAGCUAUAGUUGUCCGUCUUUUAAGGCUGAACGAGCCAGAAGCGGCUGCUCUGGUACAAAACCAUGGCAAAAGUAGCAGCCAGCGCGGAGCUGAUGGGCAACCGGAGCUGGUCAGGAGCAACGGCAACGCGUUUCUUGCAACGACCGUUGACUAAAAUAUUUUCUGUAAGAAUCCUAAAGAAUCCGUGCAAUGUGCGCUGCCCAUCAGAGAGUAUGUCCAGUUCAGUAAAAACAAUUCCUUUUUUCCGCUGCCCCGCCUCGGUGCUCCCAUCAGCCCCACAUCUGGCUGCCCAGAUCAGAGCAGCGUGGAAUUCAGCGUUUUCAUGUCCAGGGAAAAAGCUCACCACCAGUGUCCUGGCUGGACCUGCUGAGGCCCUUGAGCAGUCAAUGUGGAAAAGUACUACAGGUGUUUUCCUGGUCUUCCCGCAUCAGCAUGAAGCCUGUUGCUCCCUCGCUACCAUCCCACAGCAGGCGGGGAGGCACGG